rnacentral:rRNA from 1 species
GAACCUUACCUGGUCUUGACAUCCCGGAGACCCUUAGGAAACUAGGGGUGCUUCCAUCUGGAAGAAUCUGGAGACAGGUGCUGCAUGGCUGUCGUCAGCUCGUGUCGUGAGAUGUUGGGUUAAGUCCCGCAACGAGCGCAACCCUUGCCUUUAGUUGCCAGCAGUUCGGCUGGGCACUCUAAAGGGACUGCCGGUGUUAAACCGGAGGAAGGUGGGGAUGACGUCAAGUCCUCAUGGCCUUUAUGACCAGGGCUACACACGUACUACAAUGGCCGAUACAAAGGGCAGCGACACUGCGAGGUGAAGCCAAUCCCGUAAAAUCGGUCUCAGUCCGGAUUGGAGUCUGCAACUCGACUCCAUGAAGUUGGAAUCGCUAGUAAUCGUGGAUCAGCAUGCCACGGUGAAUACGUUCCCGGGCCUU